rnacentral:rRNA from 1 species
AAAUUGAAGAGUUUGAUCAUGGCUCAGAUUGAACGCUGGCGGCAGGCCUAACACAUGCAAGUCGAACGGUAACAGGAAGCAGCUUGCUGCUUUGCUGACGAGUGGCGGACGGGUGAGUAAUGUCUGGGAAACUGCCUGAUGGAGGGGGAUAACUACUGGAAACGGUAGCUAAUACCGCAUAACGUCGCAAGACCAAAGAGGGGGACCUUCGGGCCUCUUGCCAUCGGAUGUGCCCAGAUGGGAUUAGCUAGUAGGUGGGGUAACGGCUCACCUAGGCGACGAUCCCUAGCUGGUCUGAGAGGAUGACCAGCCACACUGGAACUGAGACACGGUCCAGACUCCUACGGGAGGCAGCAGUGGGGAAUAUUGCACAAUGGGCGCAAGCCUGAUGCAGCCAUGCCGCGUGUAUGAAGAAGGCCUUCGGGUUGUAAAGUACUUUCAGCGGGGAGGAAGGGAGUAAAGUUAAUACCUUUGCUCAUUGACGUUACCCGCAGAAGAAGCACCGGCUAACUCCGUGCCAGCAGCCGCGGUAAUACGGAGGGUGCAAGCGUUAAUCGGAAUUACUGGGCGUAAAGCGCACGCAGGCGGUUUGUUAAGUCAGAUGUGAAAUCCCCGGGCUCAACCUGGGAACUGCAUCUGAUACUGGCAAGCUUGAGUCUCGUAGAGGGGGGUAGAAUUCCAGGUGUAGCGGUGAAAUGCGUAGAGAUCUGGAGGAAUACCGGUGGCGAAGGCGGCCCCCUGGACGAAGACUGACGCUCAGGUGCGAAAGCGUGGGGAGCAAACAGGAUUAGAUACCCUGGUAGUCCACGCCGUAAACGAUGUCGACUUGGAGGUUGUGCCCUUGAGGCGUGGCUUCCGGAGCUAACGCGUUAAGUCGACCGCCUGGGGAGUACGGCCGCAAGGUUAAAACUCAAAUGAAUUGACGGGGCCCGCACAAGCGGUGGAGCAUGUGGUUUAAUUCGAUGCAACGCGAAGAACCUUACCUGGUCUUGACAUCCACGGAAGUUUUCAGAGAUGAGAAUGUGCCUUCGGGAACCGUGAGACAGGUGCUGCAUGGCUGUCGUCAGCUCGUGUUGUGAAAUGUUGGGUUAAGUCCCGCAACGAGCGCAACCCUUAUCCUUUGUUGCCAGCGGUCCGGCCGGGAACUCAAAGGAGACUGCCAGUGAUAAACUGGAGGAAGGUGGGGAUGACGUCAAGUCAUCAUGGCCCUUACGACCAGGGCUACACACGUGCUACAAUGGCGCAUACAAAGAGAAGCGACCUCGCGAGAGCAAGCGGACCUCAUAAAGUGCGUCGUAGUCCGGAUUGGAGUCUGCAACUCGACUCCAUGAAGUCGGAAUCGCUAGUAAUCGUGGAUCAGAAUGCCACGGUGAAUACGUUCCCGGGCCUUGUACACACCGCCCGUCACACCAUGGGAGUGGGUUGCAAAAGAAGUAGGUAGCUUAACCUUCGGGAGGGCGCUUACCACUUUGUGAUUCAUGACUGGGGUGAAGUCGUAACAAGGUAACCGUAGGGGAACCUGCGGUUGGAUCACCUCCUUA